rnacentral:rRNA from 1 species
AGCGAACGCUGGCGGCAGGCCUAACACAUGCAAGUCGAACGAACCUUUCGGGGUUAGUGGCGGACGGGUGAGUAACACGUGGGAACGUGCCUUUAGGUUCGGAAUAACUCAGGGAAACUUGUGCUAAUACCGAAUGUGCCCUUCGGGGGAAAGAUUUAUCGCCUUUAGAGCGGCCCGCGUCUGAUUAGCUAGUUGGUUGAGGUAAUGGCUCACCAAGGCGACGAUCAGUAGCUGGUCUGAGAGGAUGAUCAGCCACAUUGGGACUGAGACACGGCCCAAACUCCUACGGGAGGCAGCAGUGGGGAAUCUUGCGCAAUGGGCGAAAGCCUGACACAGCCAUGCCGCGUGAAUGAUGAAGGUCUUAGGAUUGUAAAAUUCUUUCACCGGGGACGAUAAUGACGGUACCCGGAGAAGAAGCCCCGGCUAACUUCGUG